CAAAGCUCGGGUUGACAUCAUACGUGAUGCUGCUAUAUGCACCUGUUGCAGAUCCGGGGUUAAUCACCACACCUCCUUCAUGUUUGUAAGCUGUAAAUUGAUGGGUGUGACCAGUGACAAGGAUGUCUACAUCUAGCUGCCUCUGCAUCAUAGCGAGUGAGUCUAGGUCUCCCCAAGGAAUAACCUGAUGCCCAUGGCACAGUCCCAAUUUAAAUUGACCAAUAGUCAGAGUUUUUGUCUCGGGAUAGCGAGUCUCUUCAUCAUAUUCACCUCGUGUAAUGUGCAAAUCCGGGCAAAUAGUUUUCAAGUAGUCGUG
rnacentral:misc_RNA from 1 species